rnacentral:lncRNA from 13 species
AGGUGGUUCUAAGUCUUACUUGUAAUUCUUAGUUCUAGUUCUUAGUUCUAGUUCUUAGUUCUAAUUAUUGCUUUUGUAACCCUACACCUCCGGAAUGAGACUGACCAUUAUUAACCCGUUAUUAACCCACAUUAUUAGCUCGUUUGGUCCUGACCCCAAUGUGACCUCUCUAAGCUCUGUGACCUCUAACCUCCGGCGAUGUUGUGUCCUCAGUGUGUUAACCUGUGAGUGGAACUUUUCAUGUGAUGUGCCCUCCCGCCACUAACCCAAAUUUCGGCCACACGCCCCUCACCUUUGACCUCUGCCUGCCCUUCACCCUGUGUCCUGCCGACUUUAACUACCUUGUAGUUCAGAACACUGAGUCGCACGACUCUAUAACUUACCUACCACCUAGCACCUCCUAAUCAAAACAAAUGUCUGAAAAUGUCUGAAAAUGUUUCAAAGUUUGAUUGAUUGAUUUGAUUGAAACAAUUUUUCUUUCACACAGUUAUGGGAUCUAACGUGUGUUUUGUUCCUUCCUCCUGCAGUAUUCUCCCAGAAUGAGAACUACCUACCUGUCUAUGACUGACGCACAGAUCAGACACUUUGGGACAGACUUCCAGCAGGUAUAGCCCCCAACUAUGGCCUACCGGUCCCCCUCAGGAAGGGUCUGUCUGGGACUACCACUGUACUGAGGAAGGGUCUGUCUGGGACUACCACUGUACUGAGGAAGCAGAGUUUACAGAUCACCCUGUCCAUGGAUGUCUCAUCCUGCUCUCCUGGCCAUCUGUUACUUAGAUGCAGGAGGUAUGGUAUGGGGUCAACAAUGGCUCAGGAACACACUGACGCUCUCAAAGUCCUGUACUGUACGUGUAGAAACCAGGAGACUACAUAGAACCCUGAGUGUAAAGUGCACUUGCAUCUCUCCCCAAACAAACCAACAAUUCAGUUAUGUGUUUUCUUCAAAUGUGAGUGUUCGUCUCGAGCCAGAUCAGAAGACAUGAUUGUUAUGUACCAAGUUGAAUGUUUAUAUAUUGUCCUGUGAGUGACGUCACCUUUGAUGGAUUUCAGGGGACAGCAAAUAACCAGAUUGAUUUCCUUCACAGCCAUAAAUGGUUAUUACAUGAACUGUCUUCAGUCUUCCCCAACCUGUCAUCGCUAUUA